GAAGCAGGGUCCGGCGGCGUCCCCUGCUAGCAGCUGUUGCGGGUUAUCAUGAGAUGCCUUGGGCCAGGUUUGAGGGCUCGGCGCCUGUUCCCACCCCGCUACCCGCCGCAGCGGCCGGGGCCUCGGGCGCCUCGGCUGUGCAGCGGGCUCACGGCUGGCGCCAUGGACGAGCUGCUGCGGCGAGCCGUGCCACCCAUGCCAGCCUAUGAGCUGCGCGAGAAGACGCCGGCGCCCGCCGAGGAGCAGUGCGCCGACUUCGUGAGCUUCUACGGCGGCCUGGGCGAGACGGCCCAGCGCGCCGAGCUGCUCAGUCGCCUAGCGCAGGGCUUCGGCGUGGACCACGGCCAGGUGGCCGAGCAGAGCGCCGGGGUGCUGCAGGUGCGCCAGCAGUCGCGCGAGGUGGCCGUGCUCCUGCAGGCCGAGGACCGGCUGCGCUAUGCGCUCGUGCCGCGCUACCGUGGCCUCUUCCACCACAUCAGCAAGCUGGACGGCGGCGUGCGCUUCCUGGUGCAGCUGCGGGCCGAUCUGCUGGAGGCGCAGGCCCUCAAGCUGGUGGAGGGGCCGCACGUCCGGGAAAUGAAUGGAGUGCUGAAGAGCAUGCUGUCCGAGUGGUUCUCCUCUGGCUUCCUGAGCCUGGAGCGGGUCACCUGGCACUCCCCCUGUGAGGUGCUUCAGAAGAUCAGUGAGUGUGAGGCUGUGCAUCCUGUGAAAAACUGGAUGGACAUGAAGCGGCGUGUGGGGCCAUACCGGAGAUGCUACUUCUUCUCCCAUUGCUCCGCCCGUGGGGAGCCCCUGAUUGUCCUGCAUGUGGCUCUGACCGGUGACAUUUCCAACAACAUCCAGGGCAUCGUGAAGGAGGACCCUCCAUCUGAAACGGAGGAGAGGAACAGGAUCUCUGCUGCUAUCUUCUAUUCCCUCAGCCUGACCCAGCAGGGCCUGCAGGGGGUGGAGCUCGGGACCUUCCUCAUAAAGCGAGUGGUCAAGGAGCUGCAGAAGGAGUUUCCUCACUUGGGGGCCUUCUCAAGCCUGUCGCCUAUACCUGGAUUCACCAAGUGGCUUCUUGGCCUCCUGAAUGUGCAGGGAAAGGAGCAUGGGAGGAACGAGCUAUUCACAGACUCAGAGUGCAAAGAAAUCUCAGAGGUCACAGGUGACCCGGUUCACGAGAGCCUCAAGGGCUUCCUGAGCAGUGGUGAGUGGGUGAAGUCAGAGAAACUGGUGCAGGCACUGCAGGGGCCACUGAUGAGGUUGUGUGCCUGGUACCUGUAUGGUGAGAAGCACCGAGGCUACGCCCUCAACCCAGUGGCCAACUUCCAUCUACAGAAUGGGGCCGUGAUGUGGCGCAUCAACUGGAUGGCUGACAGCAGCCUGAAAGGCCUCACUAGCUCCUGUGGCCUCAUGGUCAACUACCGCUACUACCUGGAGGAGACGGGCGCCAACAGAAUCACCUACCUGGGCUCCAAGAACAUCAAAGCCUCUGAGCAGGUCCUCAGCCUAGUGGCCCAGUUCCAGAAGAACAGCAAGCUCUAGGGACAUCCUCCCAAAGCCUGGGCCCUUGCUCAGAAAGGAACUGUGUUCGAUGGGCCAGGCUUACCAUAGGAGCCUUUUCAGGGAAGCCACAGCUGUGCUGUGUCCCCUGACCUCAGUAGGCACUCAGGAGGCCCCACCUCAGCUGUCACUGUGCUGGCCGACUCACUGCUUGGAGGAGGUGCUGGUGUGGGUGCACACACUGUGGGAGAUAGCACUGUGCUCCUCCAGAAGCUGCCCUGCUGCCCCACAACCUGUGCCUUCAGGAAGCUCUGCGCUCUGCAGUGUCACCCACAGGCUGCCCAUGUCCCGGACAGAACCCAGAGUCCAGACCCUUGGAUCUUGUAGAGCUGACAGUCAUGUCUUCCUUCCUGUCUGUGCCGUGGCUGCUAUUGCAGCUUAUAGCUCAGACUGGAGGCUUUGUGACAUGCACAGGGCAUAGUUGGCCCCUCAAGGAUGCUGCUGCUUGAGGCCAGGGUUGACUUAUAGGGCUUAAAUGAGAUUCCAGUUCAUAAUGAACAGUAAAGAACGAGUCUGUUCUAUAAACACUAAACAUGAUUGUUCACUACACACCUUUCUUCAAGUGUGCUUCACUGUGUACUUUCCUUCAAGAUCAGAGUCCUGGCAAGGCUCAGGGUCAGCUCUGAAAUGUCCACAGCAUCACAUUCCCCAGCCAAUCCAUUGGGAACAGAGUAUGGAUGAAGUCAGGUGCAGGACGAGGAGCGGAGAAGAGGUGUGCAUGUGUGUGGUUGUCUGUUUCUCAGCAUGUCUGCAUGACUGAGAAGGUCUGUACGUGUUGAUGUGUGUAACUGUGUGUAUGUGCUGUGACAGGAUGUGUUGAUGUGUGUAACUGUGUGUGUAUAUAUGCUGUGACGGGGUGCUGGGGACGGGAGGGUUUUGUGAGUGUAUCUGUUGCAUCUACAUCCAUACACGUGCAUCUGUGAGUGUCACACAUCAGCAGGCACAGGGCUCCUACUCUCAGUUGGACAUGCAUGUCCCUUGCCUUCAUUGACUGCAUCUUCUAGAUCUUCCCAGACUGGCCUGCUGCAGAGGGCUGGCUCCUGGAAGCUGCUGGGAUUAGGGGCUAGUGUCCUCUUCACCCAACUAGAAGCAGGGAGUGGCCGAGGCAGGGAGACCUCCAAGGCAUAAUCUGUCCCCCAACUUCACUCAAUACCCUGUUCUGCAGGUCACCCUCAAACCGCCUGGCUCUCUGUAUCAGCUUGCUGACCACCCUUUAAAGUGUAGUCCUGGAGCCCCUCCCUCCCCUGACCUUCAACUGCUGCCAGCACUCCAGUAAUGGCUUCCUUUGCUGUGUUCUUGGUGCUAGGUCAUCUGACCUGUUGGGAUCCCACCAUGGCCCGACCCUUCUAGCCUGCAGGGCCCUCCAACAGCUCUGGAACCCCAUCCUCACUAAGGCCUAUGGCAGAAUGCUCCUGUUGAUACAGAUGGGAAAAUAAAAGGACACUUCUCAGUAAUCCCACUUCCCUUCUCAGGAGCUAGGGGAUCUAAAUGAAAUGAGGAUGGUGGAGUGUGGGUCCUGGAGUUAGCAUAGCAUUUGUGGUGUGGUAGAUCGCUGUGGCCCCUUCCCAGGCCAGCUGGUCAUUGUAGUUGCUGUCCACCUAUUGCCAUCAGAUAGCACUGCUGCAGGUGCCCUGCCUUGUCCAAAGGGUGCAGAAGAGUGGGGUUUGGGUUAACUGGUCCCUUGCUCGCAAAGGCAGUGUAUCCGGAGCCACAUCAGCCCACACAGACCUUGAACCUGAGCUCGGGGUGCAGAACCAACUCUAGGUUCCCAGAACACUGAACUAGUGGCAGGCAGGGAGCUGGGGAGGGAUGUGGAGUUGGAAGGGGUUCAGGGCUGUGGGGGACCACUCAACUUUGGGGGAGCAGAAAUUGGGGUGCAUGGAGCUGGGGAUACACAUAGUUGUAGGGAACAGAGCUAGGGACAUGGAGCUAUCACUUCCCCUCCUCUCUUGUAUACCUGGUCUGCUUUGCCACUAGAGGCUGUCAACACAUGUUUCAGGGAACCCCUCUCGUCUCCAUUCCAUCAAUUUCAUUUAGGCUGACUAAACAGCAGUUUUGGGCAUGAGCCCAGAUCGCAGAUCCAAAUCCCAGUGCACCAGUGGCCGCGUUUCAGGCAUCAGCCCUUGAGUGACCAUUGUUAAAAUUUUUCAUGUCACCCUGUGCAUAAGGAUUCAGUAUUUUAUGUCCUUGAAUAUAAUCUAAGACUGAAAAUAGGUGAUUAAAAACAAUAGUAUCAAUAGAUUCUUGUUAGAUUGUGGCUUCUUUCAUAAAAGGGUAAGGCUGAAGAACUUGUCUGUGGCUAAAGUGCCAGGACCCACAUAAAAAUGGGACAUGACGACACACACCUAUAAUCCCAGCACUGGGGAGACAGAGACCCUAGGGCUCCCAGGAGCUCGCCAGUCAGCUGUCUAGUUAGUCAUAAGUCUUGACUUCGAAGCGACCUCAGAAGAUAAACAGGAGGACAACAGUGGAUGAUACUUGAUGUCAGCCUCUACAGUCCACACACACACACACACACACAGGUGAUGCUUCACACGCACAAGGGGGGUGGAAUGAGCACAUUAGAAAACAAGAAGCAUCACCAAAACCAGUCAACCCUGAAACACUCUCGCAUUCCACCAUUUGUGAAGCGAAGGCUAACUCAAAAGUCGUAGGCUGUGCUGCCACCAACAGAGUGGAAGGGGUCAGAGUAAAGCCUAGGCAGGCUCAAGAGGAAAUACAUCUGUGGCCACCAGCACCCUUAGCAGGAGCCCAGAGCAGAGGGACUCGAAGAUGAUGUGUGCCCGCCUUUAUCUCAUACAGAUCUCACUGGCCUCCAGGGAGUCUUGACGAAGCCACUCAGCUAUCUGUGAAUCUUGCAAGCUGUGGACUUACGGCACAGCCUGGCCCAGGCCUUUGGUUUCAAAGGAGAGUUCCUAGGACAUGUUGUCUUAGAGCUCUACCGUAGAUCCCGUUGCGUUACUUUCCCCGGGGGGUCCAUUUUUUUAAAGUUGUUAAUCAGGAACAAGAAUUUUAGAAUGUUUUGUAUUGUCCAUCUGCUUUCACGUUUGGUGUGUUUUCUCUGUUUUAUCACUUUUUUUUCUAUUUAUUUAUGCAUGUAUGUCGGCCCUCACGCUGUGGCAUUCGUGUGGAGGCCAGAGGACAACCUCAGGAGUCAGAUGUCUCCUAUGGUGGGUCCCAGGGCUUGAACUCAGGCAGUGAAGUGAGUCUUGGCAUCAGGGCCCUUACAGGCCAGAAGAGGGCACCAGACCUCAUUACAGAUGGUUGUGAGCCACCAUGUGGUUGCCCGGAAUUGAACUCAGGACCUUUGGAAGAGCAGGCAAUGCUCUUAACCGCUGAGCCAUCUCUCCAGCCCCUUUUCGGCAAUUAUAAAGGAAGCAGAUGACAAUUUUUAAAAAGUUUUUAAUUACAUUUUUAGUUAUUGGGAGGGAUGCAAAGCACAAACGUGGAGGCCAGAGGAAGAGGCCUCGAAGUCAGUUCUCUCCUUCCACCAUGGAGAUCGGUCCCCCAGGAUGGAACUCAGCUCAUCAGGUCCGGAAGCACGUAUCUUUGCCCACUGAGCCAUCUCCCGGCACGGAGAGGACCAUUGCCUCCAGCCCUGGGAAGCACCGAGUCUAUUGCUGCCACUCUUGGGAGCAUAGGUGUGGAGUUCCAGGAGAACAGAUGGAUGUGGCACUCCAGCACCAGAGGGACUAGGCUCAUGGCACAGCGCCUGGACUGGUGAUUCUUAGGGAACUGAGCUCUUGCCUCUUCCACAGCUCCGUCCCCGGAGAACAGUUACCCCUGUCUGGGCUGAAAGACAAGCACACCUGAGCAGCCCACGUUAGCAGGCUGGGAGUAUGGGAGCCACAUCAGCAGCCAUGGUCACCCAUCCCAGUGUGCUCCUUCCCCUAGCCAGCCCUGUUCCUCCCAGUGUGCUCCUCCCCCUAGCCAGCCAUGCUCCUCCCAGUGUGCUCCUCCCCCUAGCCAGCCAUGCUCCUCCCAGUGUGCUCCUCCCCCUAGCCAGCCAUGCUCCUCCCAGUGUGCUCCUCCUCCUAGCCAGCCGUGCUCCUCCCAUUGUGCUCCUCCCCCUAGCCAGCCAUGCUCCUCCCAGUGUGCUCCUCCUCCUAGCCAGCUGUGCUCCUCCCAGUGUGCUCCUUCCCCUAGCCAGCUGUGCUCCUGACCUCACACACCCACACAUCCUCCUAGGAGCAGGGACUUUGCUCACUGCAAAUCCGAAGUGUCCUUAGGGUAGCUGUGGUGGUGGCACCAUGGGAAGGGAUACUCGGAGACAAGGCGAGGGCAUGACUCACUGCCAUACAGCAGGCCUGUGCCAGGUCAACUCAGAGGCAGUCUGGGGUGCCCGCCUAUACCAGAUUGUGGGAUAGAGUCCUGGUGAAGACCCUCUCUCAAGGAAGCUUCAGUCCUCCCCCAAUCCC